rnacentral:lncRNA from 1 species
GUGAAUUUCACAAAAGACAUACAAGUACGUCAAAAAGGGGGUUCACGUACAUAUUUAAAAAGCUCAUAAUUUUGCUAUUAGUAAAAAUUUAAAUUGGCCAGAAAAAAAUAAUUACAAACUGGAAGUCUGGAAUCAAGAACUACCUCCGGCUGUUACAGCAUUCUCCGAACCAAGAAUCACAGAACCUUCCAUUUUCCACUGCAAUUUGAGCCUUAAUACACUUCUCUCUCUAAAUGGUUCAACCAACCCGAAUUUCUAUGAUUGCCAAAAUAUGCCUAGCUUUCGCUCUCUAUGUGAUUGUGCGCGGGAGAGCGAGAAACUCAAGGCUUUAGCGAACUGCGAAGCCAAGUAGCCAACUAACCAAGUGAGAAAAUAUGGGAUUUUGGAAGACUGGAACUGGAAGGUUGGAACUUUGGAGUUUGGAAACGGAAGC